AACGAACGCUGGCGGCAUGCCUAACACAUGCAAGUCGAACGAGACCUUCGGGUCUAGUGGCGCACGGGUGCGUAACGCGUGGGAACCUGCCCUGAGGUUCGGAAUAACUCCCCGAAAGGGGUGCUAAUACCGGAUAAUGUCUUCGGACCGAAGAUUUAUCGCCUUUGGAUGGGCCCGCGUUGGAUUAGCUAGUUGGUAGGGUAAAAGCCUACCACGGCGACGAUCCAUAGCUGGUCUGAGAGGAUGAUCAGCCACACUGGGACUGAGACACGGCCGAGACUCCUACGCGAGGCAGCAGUGGGGAAUAUUGGACAACGGGCGAAAGCAUGAUGCAGCAAUGCCGCGUGAGUGAUGAAGGCCUUAGGGUCGUAAAGCUCUUUUACCCGGGAUGAUAAUGACAGUACCGGGAGAAUAAGCUCCGGCUAACUCCGUG
rnacentral:rRNA from 1 species